CCUACGGGAGGCUGCAGUGGGGAAUAUUGCACAAUGGGCGAAAGCCUGAUGCAGCGACGCCGCGUGAGUGAAGAAGUAUUUCGGUAUGUAAAGCUCUAUCAGCAGGGACGAAGCAAGACGGUACCUGACUAAGAAGCACCGGCUAACUACGUGCCAGCAGCCGCGGUAAUACGUAGGGGGCAAGCGUUAUCCGGAUUUACUGGGUGUAAAGGGAGCGUAGGCGGUAUGGCAAGUCUGAUGUGAAAUGCAAGAGCUUAACCCUGGGACUGCUUUGGAAACUGUUAGGCUAGAGUGCGGGAGAGGUAAGUGGAAUUCCUGGUGUAGCGGUGAAAUGCGUAGAUAUUAGGAGGAACACCAGUGGCGAAGGCGGCUUACUGGACAGUAACUGACGUUGAGGCUCGAAAGCGGGGGGAGCAAACAGGAUUAGAUACCCGUGUAGUC
rnacentral:rRNA from 1 species